GACUAAAGUGAGCUCAAUGAGAACGGAAAUUUCAUGUACAACAAAAGGGUACAAGCUUACUUGAUUUUGAUUUUCAGCAUGAAUACGAACUGUGAAAGUAUGGCCUAUU
rnacentral:rRNA from 1 species